rnacentral:rRNA from 1 species
GUUCAACGGCCGCGGUAUCCUGACCGUGCUAAGGUAGCGUAAUCAUUUGCCUCUUAAUUGGUGGCCUGUAUGAACGGACAAACGAGAGCUAAACUGUCUCCUACUUACAACUAAAACCUAACCUUCAGGUGAAAAGGCCUGAAUAGUUUUAUAGGACGAGAAGACCCUAUCAAGCUUAACUAAAACCCCACACCAAAAAAUAUUAAUAUAAUCUUCUAUGUGGCUUCUUAGUUUAGUUGGGGCGACUGGGGACCAGAACUAACGUCCCCCCUUAACCUAAGGAUAAUAAUCCAAUAAAACUGACCCGUAUUUAACGACCAAGAGAAAAGCUACUGUAGGGAUAACAGGCUAAUCUUCCUCAAGAGCCCAAAUCGAAAGGAAGGCUUGGCACCUCGAUGUUGGCUUAAGACACCCCUAAAGUGCAGCAGCUUUAAAAGGUAGGUUUGUUCACCCUUUAAAGUCUUACAUGAGCUGAGUUCAGACCGGCGUAAGCCAGGUCAGAUUCUAUCCAUAAAACAACAAAAUUAUAUAUUGCUUAAUUGUACGAAAGGACCCUAAUCAACUAAAUAAAUAUAGAAAAGAAACAAAUAUUACCUAUAAUAUAAAUCAAAUUAUACUACUCUUCCUCGACCAUGCUCCUCGAGGGGG